rnacentral:lncRNA from 1 species
GCGAUUAGACGUAUUUCUUCGAGUCAGAUUUGUAGCGUAACCUAACCUUUUGAUGGCGUCAGUUUUUCAUUACUAUUGUAUUACUGUUUAUACAUUGUGAUUAAUAUUGUUUAAUUAAUGCACGUUUACGUUAUCCUUUACUGAACAUUUUGGUAGUAAAAUCAGGUAAUCACGAGACUUAUUUUGUUCUUUUUUCUUUGAUCGUUUAUUCGAUUGUCAGACUUGCCGGUAGGUUCCCGUAUCUUCUUGCAAGAUAGUAUUCUAGAUUGUUGGUUGAUUGCUGUUAACUACAGAGAUGUCAUGAAAGAAAAUGAAGCAUAAAGAAUAAGCAUCAAUGUCUUUUUCAUGCAGAUUUGAUUUAUUAUCUGAAUAUCUAGUUCUUAUUAUUUGAAGGGGACCUAGCAAUGCUUCAAAAUUUAAAAGCAUGGUCGACAUACUCCCCUUCUUCCUAUCUUCUAGUAGGAAUCUAGCUAUGCUCCAGCAACCAAAAGUGGAUAAAUUGUAAUAUUCUACAUCUUGUUAAAGAUGUUUCACACCCUUUUCUGCUUUUUCCUAUCCUCUGGGGAGGAUCUAAUGGUGCUUCAGAAGCCAAAAUUUCGUCGACCUCGUCAAAUUUGAUAGUCCAUGCUUGAUAACAACCAUCGUGAUGAUUUCUUCUGGGCUACUGCAAUAUUGAUGGUAAUAUCCUCGGUGUUCAAUGGUGAGUCGCAUACAUUUUUAUUCUUCCAGUCAUUCAAUCAUGUCGUAAGAUGAAAGAUACGAGUCGACACGUGUGAUUGGCUAUAUUUUUCGUCGAAUUUUUUUUUACGAGCAUACUGACCGCUGGUAUUUAUUAUACCCAUAAAUAGUAACACAUAUUUUUGUGAUUUAUUUAUUAGUUUAGAAUAGGUUUUGUUGCACAUCGCGGUUUUUGAUAGUUAAUUCAAACGCACGUA